rnacentral:rRNA from 1 species
GAAACGACUGCUAAGACUGGAGAGGAAAUAAAAAGGCAUCUUUUUAUUUUUAAAAGACCUUUUUCGGAAGGUAUGCUUAAAGAGGGGCUUGCGUCACAUUAGUUAGUUGGCAGGGUAAAAGCCUACCAAGACUAUGAUGUGUAGCUGGACUGAGAGGUUGAACAGCCACAUUGGGACUGAGACACGGCCCAAACUCCUACGGGAGGCAGCAGUAGGGAAUUUUCGGCAAUGGAGGAAACUCUGACCGAGCAACGCCGCGUGAACGAUGAAGUAUUUCGGUAUGUAAAGUUCUUUUAUUGAAGAAGAAAAAAUAGUGGAAAAACUAUCUUGACGAUAUUCAAUGAAUAAGCCCCGGCAAACUAUGUGCCAGCAGCCGCGGUAAUACAUAGGGGGCGAGCGUUAUCCGGAAUUAUUGGGCGUAAAGGGUGCGUAGGCGGUUUAAUAAGUCUAUAGUUUAAUUUCAGUGCUUUACACUGUCCUGCUAUAGAAACUAUUAGACUAGAGUGAGAUAGAGGCAAGUGGAAUUCCAUGUGUAGCGGUAAAAUGCGUAAAUAUAUGGAGGAACACCAGAGGCGUAGGCGGCUUGCUGGGUCUUUACUGACGCUGAGGCACGAAAGCGUGGGGAGCAAACAGGAUUAGAUACCCUGGUAGUCCACGCCGUAAACGAUGAGUACUAAGUGUCGGGAUUACUCGGUACUGAAGUUAACACAUUAAGUACUCCGCCUGAGUAGUACGUACGCAAGUAUGAAACUUAAAGGAAUUGACGGGACUCCGCACAAGCGGUGGAUCAUGUUGUUUAAUUCGAAGAUACACGAAAAACCUUACCAGGUCUUGACAUACUCUGCAAAGCUAUAGCAAUAUAGUGGAGGUUAUCAGGGAUACAGGUGGUGCAUGGUUGUCGUCAGCUCGUGUCGUGAGAUGUUAGGUUAAGUCCUAAAACGAGCGCAACCCUUGUCAUUAGUUGCCAGCAUGUCAUGAUGGGCACUUUAAUGAGACUGCCAAUGAAAAAUUGGAGGAAGGUGAGGAUCACGUCAAAUCAUCAUGCCCCUUAUGAUCUGGGCUACAAACGUGAUACAAUGGCUAUUACAAAGAGUAGCUGAAACGUAAGUUUAUAGCCAAUCUCAUAACAGCAGUCUCAGUCCGGAUUGAAGUCUGCAACUCGACUUCAUGAAGUUGGAAUCGCUAGUAAUCGCGAAUCAGCAUGUCGCGGUGAAUACGUUCUCGGGGUUUGUACACACCGCCCGUCA